CAAUAGCGUAUAUUUAAGUUGUUGCAGUUAAAAAGCUCGUAGUCGGAUUUUGGCUGAGAACGAACGGUCCGCCGUUAGGUGUGCACUGUUUGGUCUCAGCUUCCUGGUGAGGAGGUGUGCUUCACGGCCACGUAGUCACCGUGGUUACUUUGAAAAAAUUAGAGUGUUCAAAGCGGGCUUACGCUUGAAUAUAUUAGCAUGGAAUAACACCAUAGGACUCCUGUCCUAUUUCGUUGGUCUCGGGACGGGAGUAAUGAUUAAGAGGAACAGUUGGGGGCAUUCGUAUUUCAUUGUCAGAGGUGAAAUUCUUGGAUUUAUGAAAGACGAACUUCUGCGAAAGCAUUUGCCAAGGAUGUUUUCAUUGA
rnacentral:rRNA from 1 species